rnacentral:lncRNA from 1 species
CCACUUCCCUCAGCCUGUAGAACUUCCGGCAGCAACUGCAAUUAGGGGUAGUCCAGUGCUAAAUUGUCGCAGCCUUGAAAAUAUUCUGCUUCGUUAUUUCGGGCACUCCACAGAUUCUGUUGCGAAGGCAGCCAUCUUUAGUUCGUCUUUCCUAGAGAGCGUUGAGAAGAUUCUGCUCCAUUUUUUCUGAUUAUGGAUUCUGUUCAGAAGGAAGCCGAAUUUUAAGUCAUCGUUCUAGGAUAGAUUCAGCUCCAUUUUCUCUGGUGGUAGAUCUCCAUGGAUGCUAUUGAGAAGGUACUUCUCAAAGUCCACGAGGACAAGGACAUCUUUCCACCGAAUGCCACCUGGUUUAUAACAAAAGCAGGCAUUGGGAUCCGUGGAAGGCUUGUUAAAUCCAAAUAGAUUGGUCCUACUCCAUCCGCAGAGUUGCUGACGAGGUGCGUCCAGGCCUUCUCCUCACCUCUCAGGGAGAUAUACCAUGCAGUGCCUUCAGUUAUGGUGUUGUGACUGAGGAUGCUUCGGUCAGACAUGUCCCUGAAAACCUGCAUAGAGGAAUCUCUUGCCCCAAGUUUCAUUCCAAGUAUUUAAAUUGGAAUUGAGCAUCCUGUCAUGCCAGGGAUGAGAAUGCCUGGGUUACAUCAGUUAGCCCUCUCCUCUUGAGGAAUGGCAUAUUACCCAUUUUAGCUGCACUUCAAGGGAAGUUAUUGAAUAUGUCCUAUCCAACUAAAACAAGGAAAUGAUGAAAAAAAUAAAAUCACUUUCCAGAGGCCUCAGGGCUAACUGGAGACAGAGCUCAGACUGCAACUGAGAAAAGUUGGACUCCAAAACCUGUACUCUGAGCUUUACUGCAUGAGAAAGUUAUUGAAAUGUGCCUUGUGACAUUCAGAAUAAGUGACUUUUCAGAGGUCUCAGAGUCAGUAAGAGACAGAACUCAGAUUGUAACCAAGAAGAGCUGAACUCCAAACUUCUGUGUCCGGAAUUGGUGGGUUCUUGGUCUCACUGACUUCAAGAAUGAAGCGGCAGACCCUCGCGG